rnacentral:rRNA from 1 species
UGGGGAAUAUUGCACAAUGGGGGAAACCCUGAUGCAGCGACGCCGCGUGAGCGAUGAAGGUCUUCGGAUCGUAAAGCUCUGUCCUUAGGGAAGAAUAUUGACGGUACCUAAGGAGGAAGCCCCGGCUAACUACGUGCCAGCAGCCGCGGUAAUACGUAGGGGGCGAGCGUUGUCCGGAAUCACUGGGCGUAAAGGGAGCGUAGGCGGCUUUGUAAGUCAGGUGUUAAAGGCAUUGGCUCAACCAAUGUAAGCACUUGAAACUACAAGGCUUGAGUACAGGAGAGGAGAGUGGAAUUCCUAGUGUAGCGGUGAAAUGCGUAGAUAUUAGGAGGAACACCAGUGGCGAAGGCGACUCUCUGGACUGUUACUGACGCUGAGGCUCGAAAGCGUGGGGAGCAAACAGGAUUAGAUACCCCCGUAGUCC